GCUGGGCAUGGUGGUGCAUGCCUGUAAUCCCAGCUACUCAGGAGGCUGAGGCAGGAGAAUCGUUUGAACCCAGGAGGCAGAAGUUGCAGUGAGCCAAGAUCACGCCAUUGCACUCCAGCCUGGGUGACAGAAUGAGACUCUGUCUCAA
rnacentral:SRP_RNA from 1 species